ACAGGUUUUUUUUUGUUGUCAUGACUGUAACAUGAGACAUGGGUGGUGUAGUGACCCAAACAGAGACAACGAACAUUUAUGCCUAUCAAGUCAAUAGGGGGUAACACUUCACCACUAAGAUACCUUACCACUUGAUUCGCUAAGCUAAGUAAAUAUGGUCGUCUGGGUACAUCCCACAUAGGGCCACAGUUUGUUCUUUGUGUACUGAGUGCACUGUUUGAACCUGACCAUGAAGCCGCACACAUCAGCCUUACCGUUGUGGGUUUGCCUGAACAAAGGAGACACCUUAAUCUGGGGAAUAUCUCCUACAAAAUCAACCACCCUCUGUUAAUACAACAAGAUUUAAAUUCACUACAUUACUCUGAACAAUCUUGCCUAAUUAUUUUGUUUUGAUUAUAUGUGAUUUUUGACAUAAUAUAGUGAAAUCAGAACAAGUUGACAUGGCAGAGUGCAUGGGGGCUGCCACAUCAAGCAGCAUUAAGGGAAAUGUUAAAGAAAAGGAGGCUUGAAGUACAGUUGCCGGGCGCAACACACCAAAGGAAACGGUUCACCCUAUCUUCAUCUUGGAGAGAAAAAUCCUUACAAGGGAGGAGGCCAGAGCUAACCCCCUGAAGGAAGUAUAGCUCAACCAUAGCAUACAGGGAAUCCACCCAAGCCACUUGAGGUUGGUACAGAGAGUGCACUCUGGCGUAUCUAAGUAAAUAGGAGGCAAGGGCAACUCCUUAUUGGAGGAAUAUAUGUCUGUGGAAAGCAUGUACUGUUCAAGGAAAACAACCCUGUCAGUCUGAAGUCACGCAUGGCCAAUCAGAACUCAGUUCAAGGUACAAUCAAAGAGCUGCCUGAAUCAGCAGAUGACAGAGUUUCUGACCAAAGCAGGCUGCAAGACUGGGGAAAGUUAUGAAACGCAUGAUUCGAUGCAAGAACCAACUCACUAACUGUUCCAAUGGAGAGCGCUUUGUUUACAUUGAAGCAGACCCAGACCGAACCCAGACCGCGCUCUGCAAAGAUGGGUCCACACUGGGUCAAAAUAUUAUUAGUGCAAUGGACAGCGUCAAGACGAGCCGGAACAAAAGCCUGCACUGAGCCCAAAAUGCAUUCCAGCCACUGAAGAGAACUUGAAUUACAUAGAGGAGAUGUACAGUAUAGCUAGUCUGUGCUGGAUGACAACGCCUGCCUGAAAGUGGAACAGAGCUAUCAGAAACACCCGCAGAAUCUGGAGAAAUUCAGGCCACUUCUACACCGAACAAUAAGGGGGAUGAGCCUGGAGAAAACAGUGUGCCAGACCCAACUAUACAUUCUAAUGAGCAGAGAAAGAAGAAGAAAUAAAGUAGCAAAAGAAUGUGAAGAGAAAAAAAUGGAAGUGACAAAAGCAGAGUAAAACAAGAACAACAAGACCUAAGAUAGUAAGAUGAACAGAAGGCGGUGCAACUCACUUGGGAGGGCAAAAGGAGGGAAUCCAUCCUUUAAUUAUCUUAUUCCCUCUGUGCUCUGUUCCUCUGUUCUCUACAGGCAAGUAAGAAACCUAGGGAGACUCACACAGUUAAGUCUGGAACAGAAGUCAAAGAAAGAAAAUGAUGAUGAACAGGACCAAAGUCCCCAGAUCACAAGUGAAGAACACAAAAAGUCCACCCAGGAAGUAUAAAGAUGCUGGAGCUGCAAAGGCCUGGAAUGUCCACCAGGGAAAACUGCGGGGUCUUUCUACUGCAUUGUUUCCCAACAGGCUGCUACUGCUUCAGCAGUGCAAUCAUGUAUGAACUGCCGUGUGUUAUCCAACAGACCCAUUAAGACUUGUAUGUCCAAGUUGUAAAUAUUACUGCUAUGAGAUUUGCUUAGGUGCAUCUAAUUGAAGGCUGGCAUUGUGGAUAUAAUUAUGAUAAUGUACAGAUGUGAUAUUUUUAUUGAUUACAUAUUUCUUUUCAUUAAAGUCUAUUUUGGGACGGGUGUGGAAAAUGAGCUUGAGCUAGACACACUAGUGCAAUGCAUCGGACGAUUGUUUGUUCAUUGUGUCAAUGUGUUUGUCCCCAUUCAAAUAAACUAAACUAUUAUUGUAUGAAA